AUUGAACGCUGGCGGUAUGCUUUACACAUGCAAGUCGAACGGUAACAGGCCGCAAGGUGCUGACGAGUGGCGAACGGGUGAGUAAUGCAUCGGAACGUGCCCAGUCGUGGGGGAUAACGCAGCGAAAGCUGCGCUAAUACCGCAUACGAUCUAUGGAUGAAAGCGGGGGACCGUAAGGCCUCGCGCGAUUGGAGCGGCCGAUGUCAGAUUAGGUAGUCGGUGGGGUAAAGGCUCACCAAGCCAACGAUCUGUAGCUGGUCUGAGAGGACGACCAGCCACACUGGGACUGAGACACGGCCCAGACUCCUACGGGAGGCAGCAGUGGGGAAUUUUGGACAAUGGGCGCAAGCCUGAUUCAGCAAUGCCGCGUGCAGGAAGAAGGCCUUCGGGUUGUAAACUGCUUUUGUUCGGAACGAAACGGCUCUGGUUAAUACCUGGGGCUAAUGACGGUACCGUAAGAAUAAGCACCGGCUAACUACGUGCCAGCCGCCGCGGUAA
rnacentral:rRNA from 1 species